AUUGAACGCUGGCGGCAGGCCUAACACAUGCAAGUCGAGCGGAUGAAGGGAGCUUGCUCCUGGAUUCAGCGGCGGACGGGUGAGUAAUGCCUAGGAAUCUGCCUGGUAGUGGGGGAUAACGUCCGGAAACGGGCGCUAAUACCGCAUACGUCCUGAGGGAGAAAGUGGGGGAUCUUCGGACCUCACGCUAUCAGAUGAGCCUAGGUCGGAUUAGCUAGUUGGUGGGGUAAAGGCCUACCAAGGCGACGAUCCGUAACUGGUCUGAGAGGAUGAUCAGUCACACUGGAACUGAGACACGGUCCAGACUCCUACGGGAGGCAGCAGUGGGGAAUAUUGGACAAUGGGCGAAAGCCUGAUCCAGCCAUGCCGCGUGUGUGAAGAAGGUCUUCGGAUUGUAAAGCACUUUAAGUUGGGAGGAAGGGCAGUAAGUUAAUACCUUGCUGUUUUGACGUUACCAACAGAAUAAGCACCGGCUAACUUCGAG
rnacentral:rRNA from 1 species